rnacentral:rRNA from 1 species
GGCUCCCUGUAAUGAAUAAAUAGGGAGUCGGACCUGCCCAGUGAAAGUUUUUAACGGCCGCGGUACUCUGACCGUGCAAAGGUAGCAUAAUCAUUUGCCUUAUAAUUGAAGGCUGGUAUGAAUGGUUUGACAAGAAUAUAGCUGUCUCUUUAUAAUUUAAUAGAAUUUUAUUUUAAGGUGAAGAAGCCUUAAUUAAAUUAAAAGACAAGAAGACCCUAUCGAGCUUGAAAGAAUUUAAUGGAAUAUAAUAUUAAUAAUAGUUAAAAGAUUAUCUAUUAAAAAUUUUGGUUGGGGCGACUGAGGAACAAAAAUAGCUUCCUUUAAAAUAUAAUGACAUGCAAGUAUUGAUCCAAAAUUUUUGAUUAAAGGAAUUAGUUACCGUAGGGAUAACAGCAUUAUCCUCUUUGAGAGUUCUUAUCGAAAAGGGGGUUUGUGACCUCGAUGUUGGACCAGAAUAUCCUAAAGAUGCAGAAGUCUUUAAGGGUUGGUCUGUUCGACCAUUAAAAUUCU